rnacentral:rRNA from 1 species
UACGGGGGGGGCAAGCGUUGUUCGGAAUUACUGGGCGUAAAGGGCGUGUAGGCGGCCAACUAAGUCCGACGUGAAAUCCCCAGGCUUAACCUGGGAACUGCGUCGGAUACUGGAUGGCUUGAAUCCGGGAGAGGGAUGCAGAAUUCCAGGUGUAGCGGUGAAAUGCGUAGAUAUCUGGAGGAAUACCGGUGGCGAAGGCGGCAUCCUGGACCAGCACUGACACUGAGGCACGAAAGCGUGGGGAGCAAACAGG